GACAUAGAUGAUCAGUUCCUGCUGGGUCCAGCCUUCCUAGUCAGCCCCGUCCUGCAGGCUAAUGCUAGAAGUGUCACUGCGUAUUUCCCUGGAGCCCGCUGGUAUGAUUACUACUCGGGUGUGGAUAUUAAUGCAAGGGGAAUGUGGAAGGACCUUGAAGCCCCUCUCAACCACAUUAACCUUCAUGUCCGUGGGGGCUACAUCCUGCCCUGGCAGGAGCCUGCACUGAACACACAAUUGAGCCGCCAGAAAUUCAUGGGCUUCAAGGUUGCUUUGGAUGAUGAGGGAUCUGCUGAGGGCUGGCUCUUUUGGGAUGAUGGGCAAAGCAUCGGUGAGUACGG